rnacentral:rRNA from 1 species
AUUGAACGCUGGCGGCAGGCCUAACACAUGCAAGUCGAGCGGAUGAAGGGAGCUUGCUCCUGGAUUCAGCGGCGGACGGGUGAGUAAUGCCUAGGAAUCUGCCUGGUAGUGGGGGAUAACGUCCGGAAACGGGCGCUAAUACCGCAUCCGUCCUGAGGGAGAAAGUGGGGGAUCUUCGGACCUCACGCUAUCAGAUGAGCCUAGGUCGGAUUAGCUAGUUGGUGGGGUAAAGGCCUACCAAGGCGACGAUCCGUAACUGGUCUGAGAGGAUGAUCAGUCACACUGGAACUGAGACACGGUCCAGACUCCUACGGGAGGCAGCAGUGGGGAAUAGUGGACAAUGGGCGAAAGCCUGAUCCAGCCAUGCCGCGUGUGUGAAGAAGGUCUUCGGAUUGUAAAGCACUUUAAGUUGGGAGGAAGGGCAGUAAGUUAAUACCUUGCUGUUUUGACGUUACCAACAGAAUAAGCACCGGCUAACUUCGUG